rnacentral:lncRNA from 1 species
GCUCUCCAUAGGAGUUCCUGUGCAGAGCCCUGGAUGCGCCCCAGCCCCAGUCAGUGAGUAACGCUGUGUUCCUGUUCCAGGGGAUUGGGGCGUGCUCCUCCCUCAGCCCUCUGGGUUGCCACCCUGCCCAUGAAUGGCAAGAUGCUCAUCUUCGGCACCAUCUCGGGCUGCCUGGAACCAAUUGCAACUAUAGAGGCAGCCAUCUCGGAGAAGCUUCCCUUUGCCACACCCAUGAACCAGAAGGAUCUGAUCACCUGGCCAUCUACAACGCUUACUUGGAGAGGUGGAAGAUCAUACGCAGGUGGAAGAACAUACGCAGUGAGAGAUAUUGAGCCGAGACAACCUACUACAGGAAACACUUCCUGAAUCGCACUGCCCUUAUCACCAUAAAGUACAUCAAACAGGAGCUGAUGAGGAUGAUGGACCAGGUCGUAUUCUCUUCUUCCUCCGAGUCUGGUUGAGGACCAGCUUCCCGGGACCGGUCUGACCCGACGGGGCCCCAGGCUCCCCUCACCCCUUUGGGUAAGGCUCAGAUCUGUGUACUGAACGCGGUGGUGACGGGAGGGCUGUGUGACAGUGUGGGGCGGAUCCUCUACACGCCCUCUGUGGAUGCGCUGGACCGGGUGGCCUGUUCUGUGGAAACCUCCCAGGGGAAGGCCCACGUCCACCCCUCCUCCUUCAACCACUACCUACUCUUCCAGGAGAAGGUCAGUUGGAUAGAGAUAACACUAUCGCUCUUACUCUCUCUGUUUCUUUAUCUCUCUGUAUAUCUAUUAAUAGACCAUCAAUACACUUUUUGUAUCUG